CCUACGGGGGGCAGCAGUGGGGGAUAUUGCACAAUGGGGGGAACCCUGAUGCAGCGACGCCGCGUGGGUGAAGAAGCGCCUCGGCGCGUAAAGCCCUGUCAGCAGGGAAGAAAAUGACGGUACCUGAAGAAGAAGCCCCGGCUAACUACGUGCCAGCAGCCGCGGUAAUACGUAGGGGGCAAGCGUUAGCCGGAUUUACUGGGUGUAAAGGGGGCGCAGACGGCGAUGCAAGCCGGGAGUGAAAGCCCGGGGCGCAACCCCGGGACUGCGCUUGGAACUGCGUGGCUGGAGUGCAGGAGGGGCAGGUGGAAUUCCUGGUGUAGCGGUGAAAUGCGUAGAUAUCACGCAGAACUCCGAUUGCGAAGGCAGCAUACCGGCGCGCAACUGACGCUCAUGCACGAAAGCGUGGGUAUCGAACAGGAUUAGAUACCCGAGUAGUC
rnacentral:rRNA from 1 species